rnacentral:rRNA from 1 species
AAUGGGCGAGAGCCUGAUCCAGCCAUGCCGCGUGCAGGAAGACGGCCUAUGGGUUGUAAACUGCUUUUAUACAGGAAGAACAUCCCCUCGUGAGGGGACUUGACGGUACUGUAAGAAUAAGGACCGGCUAACUCCGUGCCAGCAGCCGCGGUAAUACGGAGGGUCCGAGCGUUAUCCGGAAUCAUUGGGUUUAAAGGGUCCGUAGGCGGGCAGCUCAGUCAGUGGUGAAAGUCUGCAGCUCAACUGUAGAAUUGCCAUUGAUACUGGUUGUCUUGAAUUAUUAUGAAGUGGUUAGAAUAUGUAGUGUAGCGGUGAAAUGCAUAGAUAUUACAUAGAAUACCGAUUGCGAAGGCAGAUCACUAAUAAUAUAUUGACGCUGAGGGACGAAAGCGUGGGGAGCGAACAGGAUU